UACCAGCACCCCGAGUGGUCGGGACGAUUAUUGGGCCUAAAGCAUCCGUAGCCGGUUCUGCAAGUCUCCCGUUAAAUCCAACUGCUCAACAGGUGGGCUGCGGAGGAUACUACAGAGCUAGGAGGCAGGAGAGGCAAGCGGUACUCAAUGGGUAGGGGUAAAAUCCGUUGAAUCCAUUGAAGACCACCAGUGGCGAAGGCGGCUUGCCAGAAUGCGCUCGACGGUGAGGAUGAAAGCUGGGGAGCAAAGCCGG
rnacentral:rRNA from 1 species